UACAGAGGGUGCGAGCGUUGUCCGGAAUCACUGGGCGUAAAGGGCGCGUAGGCGGCCUGAUAAGUCGGGGGUGAAAUCCUGUGGCUUAGCCACAGGGCUGCCUCCGAGACUGUCGGGCUCGAGCACAGUAGAGGCAGGUGGAAUUCCCGGUGUAGCGGUGGAAUGCGUAGAGAUCGGGAGGAACACCAGUGGCGAAGGCGGCCUUCUGGACCAACUACUGACGCUCAUGCACGAAAGCGUGGGAGCAAACAGG
rnacentral:rRNA from 1 species